AGGAGGAUACUGCUGCAGGUGGUUAGUGCCCCUAUGGCCAUCACCCCUCCUGGUUGCAAAACCUGGCUCCACCGCUGCUAGGGAGAGUAGUAGUUUGCUGGCUGGGCUAUCCUGGGACUAAAGAUCCCUCCUGUGAGCAAGUGGGGAAAGGAGCCUAUGAGGGAGUAGCCCGAAUAUGCUGGAGACACAGACUAAGACUAAUGAGCUACGUUAUCAACAUCAGCCAGGAGAGGGCUCUGAAAAGGAAGUGCCAUCCUGAGAUCAGAGGAAACCGGGUUCAGCAGAGAGAGCAGUUGCUGGUGAACAGGAGCUGAAGGUUGGAGACAAUCGCAUGGGAGCUGGCUGUGGAAGAGUGCUGGGAGCGGAAGGCUGAGAGCAAGCCAGCAACAGCCUGUUGCUGACUGGGACUCUUGUUUACCCCAGAAGAAUGGAGGACUUCUAAUAUAGCCGGAGGGCUAAACUAACUCAUCCUUCCAGCAGAGAGAAGACAAGUCAAAAAAGGGGAAAACUGAUGCAGCAGCCACACCUUAUGAUGAAACUGAUCCAUGUCUGGACAGACCCAUAUAAAAAGCAAGAAGAUCAGGAAAUACACAAACAUAGCAUCACAUGCUUAAGAAAAUAGUCAUCUUGGAAAUAUCCUGUGAAAUUGCAUCUUGUGCAGAUCAUAUGAACUUGUCCGUCAUCUUUCAACUAUGAUACCAAGACCGAUUUUGACCCGAUAAUAGUUUCCUGUUGCACUGCAAGUGAUUAAUAUACCAAGCAACCCCAUUUUAUUGCUAGCUGUCUUGUUCCAUAAUUAUUUUUUGCGGAUAACCAUUUAGUGGAGAGAUUAUUCAGAUGUUGAUUUUUUUUCUGAUUCUUCCAAUGGAGUAAUCUGUUUUUAAAUAUUAAAGCGAAUCCUCAAAAUUAAGAUGAAUGUUUAGUUUGCAAUUGUUGCUGGAAAAAUUACCAAAAUAGACCCACAAGUCUGUACCAGGAAGAGGGACUAUUAUCAAAAACAUCAUUUGCGUUUUUUAUUAACAUACACUUUCUGUUCAAAUAAAAUAUUGCAUACAUCCACCAACACUCAAUUAUUUUGCUUUAGAAUCCAUAACAUUGAUCUUUUUCUCUUUCCCGCCCUUACAACAUGCUCUGCUCUGAUGGUUUUUCAGAUGAACGAAAACAUUUCCCUGUGUGACUCCACAGACUGGUUUUCCUUUGUUCGUUUGUUCGGGGGUAGAGGAACAUUACACAAACAAAAACUCUGGGGAAAAUAAAAUGACUGCACGGGAAUUAACAAAUGUAACUUGCAAUGGAAAAAUCAUGUACAUAAGCAAAAAAAAAUGCUGUCACUUAACAAACUAGAUAGUUAUAUACCAAACUAUUGAUCCUUGCUGAUGAAUAUGAAUUGGUGGGCUACUUAAGUGGGUAUUUGAAGGUAAGCAAGAAAAAAGAAUAUUGAGAGGAAGGGCUAAAAAUAGGGAAGAGAAAUGUGUAGUAGGAGUAUGGAUGUGUAGGAGAAUAGGUAUUAUAAAUCCUCAGAGGUGAGAUUUAUGGGCUAAUAUACAUCUUGCAAGGGCUCUCGAGUACAUUAAUUAAUCCAGAUUAUUCCUUAUCUUCUCCAUGAUGGAGAAUUGAGAUCUGAUUCUGUUAGUUUAAAGAGAGGGGGAUUGAUCUUCCAGUGGGUUGAAGGCUUAUUUAAGAUCAUUUUGAUUAAGGCUGGUUUUCAGUAGCAUUGGAAAAUAGCCAGAGCAAGAUAAUUUUGUUAAAGGACCAUGCUGUCGUGUGGUGACACUGGAACCAUUUUGCAAUUGGUUAAUUUAUUUUAAUAGAGUCUUGCUACAGUCUAAUGAGAUUGAGUUAUAAUUUUGUUGAGCAGUGGACAACGGGUGGUGAAGAUGUUAAUAUGGCAUUUUGCCAUAUCUUAAACAGAUUUCCAUUCUUCCGGGUAUGAUUAUGUUCUUCAUCCCAUAUUUCUCUGGAUGGGGUAAAUUAGUAUGUAAUCUGAGUGCUGGCCCCAAAUAUAGCAAUUGUAUCUUCUAAUAGAAAGGAGAUGUGAUUUUUGAUUGAGGAUCGUUGUGUAGUAUUUUGUAAAAUGGGAGAUGUGAGUCAGAAUCAGUUCUGAAACUUGGGGGAUGCUCAUAAGGUGGUGUUUUGUAAACUGCUUCCCAACACUAAGGACAUGAUCAAUUUCUAAGAGAAAGUGAAUUGUAUUAUUCCAAAAUGGGAUGUUGGGCAAUGAGCAGAGAGGAUUUCAGUGUGCUACAAAAUAUUUUUGAGGGUAGCUCAAGAAGAGUUUAAGAUUAGGGAUCGUAUUAGAGGUAGGUAAUGGAAUAAAAUCUAAUAAGAUUAAACCAAAUAAGGCAAUAAUUCCUCAUUGGUUGCAAACCAUCUUGUCAUGUUUCUCUUUUGUAAAGCAAUAAUAAGGACUUCUUAUCUGGUAGACUCAGAGCUCCAUUUACUGAUGACUUCUCAAUUAUCUUGUAUGAAUGCCUUGACUAUUAGUUUCAUCUAGGCUGGUAGCUGGAGAUACGUUUGUUGCAGAAAAUGUAGCUGGACUUUUCAGUCCUGGUAUGCUUAAGCAUUACAGGAGAUAUGAGUCGAUGUGAAAUUCUGAAAUUGAAAUAUGACCCAUAAAUGACACACAUAAUGGCUUCCUAGGAAUUGAGUUGUUUAAUUUGAAUUGAUGGAAGGUUUUGUAACUCUUAUAAAUUAAUCUAUCCCUGACUUAUGUAAAAAGGUAUGAAUUUGGAACAAAUCUUCCUUGGAUAUUCUUGAAUUGGACUCCUGUCUUCGCACGUGAGUCUUUACUGGGGAUCUCAGAUUUUGACUUUGUUUCACAAAGAAUACAUGAACACCCAGAAACAUAAUUACUUGACUUUCUCAGAAAACAUGACUGCCAAGGUGAUGGUUUGUGUUACAACUUGAGCCUGGAAAACACAUUAAGGACACUGAGAGUGUCAAAUAUAUGUAACAUGAGUAUGUAUCAUCAGUCACUCUGUGUGGAAGCAAUUCCGAAACAGAUAAUGGAUCAAGACGACAAAUUUAAAAUAAAAAAAAAAUGAAAGCAACAGGAAUCAUGAAAGAAUUUGUGCAAUUUUCUGAGUAAUCAUUCAAAAAGGAUAUAGAACAGUCUUGGGACUAUUGUCUUGCUAUUAAAGAACUAGUCUGGCAUUAUGACAUUUGGAUUCCGUUCCUAGCUGCUCUACUAAUUAGAUGCGUGACCUUGGGCAACUCAGUAAUUUUUCCAGUUUGUGAAAGGGGAUAAUACUUUUCGACACAGGGUUGUUAGGCCUAAUGUCUAUAGAAUUCUUUGAGAUUAUGAGAUGGAAGAUGCUACGGAUCUGCAAAAUUUUACUUGUUACUGGAAUUGCAUUAGAAAUACCACUUUAUUUUAUAGGGCAGAGUUAAAGGUAGGAUGCAAGGCCUUAUUGCUAUCCACAAUCAGAUUUUGGGCAGAGGCAGAACAACACAGUUGGGCACGAGAAUCCUAUUGACAAAAUGAUAGCUGUGUUUGAGCAGAACACUGGAAGGUAUAUCCCAUUCUAUGUGGGUUUUUUAGUAGGGUUGUUUAGAUUGGAGAUAUUGUCUGCCUCUAAAAUACUGUUCUGUCUUGACUUUACUGUGCUAUUUAACCACGCUCAUUUCAGUAACCACUACUACAUGGAGUGUGGAAUCUUCCAUAUAAGAGCAUAGGGGUAAUAUUUGAGGAGAAUGAGGCCAAAUGCUGGCAUCUCAAGCCAAUGGGAAAUGGAGCAGUGUAGAAGAUUCUUUGGCCUCUAAAUUGGACCAGGAUUCAGCUUUGUGGUAUUCUAGCCAUGGAAAUGUCAUGGGCCAAGAUAGCAGGCAAACAAUACUUGUCUUGAGCCCUAAAUCACUUAUGUCCUACUUAGCUUUUGUACACUAUGCAUCAAUUUUGUUUAUUUUUCAAACUUUGUUAAAAUAUGUUAGUAGUUCAGACUGGUAGUAAAUUUAGAAUUGUGUCUUUGCCAUAAAUAUAAGUAAUGAAUAUUUUCCAAGAUUAAUCCAAGAAUAAGGGAAUUGGCCUUAUUAACUAACUUUAGUUUAUUAUCAUGGAAAAAUUGAUAAAAGGUAA